CUAGGGUUUCAAGAGCUUGAUUUCUGCCGCACCAGGCAGCCUUCCUUUGCCCCUUCGGGUGGGGGAGGGCCGUCCCCCCUCCCACCUACCUUGUGGGUUCCCUCUCCACUCUGGGUCGAAUUGUAGAUAGUUUUUUUAGUCGUUGGAGUGCAGUCUGCGGAAAAGGAAGAGGGAGUUGCUAUAGCGGCUGCGAUAACUUCGAU
rnacentral:misc_RNA from 1 species